AUCUUUUAAAAUUGCUAGUUAUCUCGUGGUACAGUGGCACAACAAAAUCACUUGUCCUGAUAAUUCUUCCAAUUAAACUUCGGUCGAUUUUCUUGUUGAUUUUUAAAAUAAACAACAUAAUUAACAUUGAAAG